AAUCCGUGCUGUGGGCACCAGCGCAAAAAAGAUCCUUGAAGCACUCCCAUGUCUCAAACAAUGACUCUAACUCUAUCUGCACAAACAACGAUAUCUCAUUGCGAAGCUU